GCCACCAUGGGCUCGGGGGUUGAGCAUUUGGUUUUUUAAACCAGGGGUCGUGAGUUCAAUCCUCACUGGUGGCU